rnacentral:tRNA from 1 species
GCGGGCGUGGCGGAACCGGCAGACGCGCCGGACUUAGGAUCCGGUGGGGUUGCCCGUGGGGGUUCGAGUCCCUCCGCCCGCACCA